GGGAAAACCUGAUGCCAAGUUCCAUUCAGCAGAGGAAGAGGAGCUCCCCUAGUUACAUUCAGGAAGAAGAGACAGAUUUGGAUCUCACUCGUAGAGUUUAUGGCCUAGAGAAGAAGCCUAUGCUGCCUUCUAUUUAAAGAGAGACUCAAAGUCUGGGCCUGUACUGGGAAACGUAGAAGAAGAUAUGAGGCCACAUGGAACAUUCUGGGGUAACCAGGAGGCAGAACGCAGAAAGGAUCUAAAGCCAAGUUAAGGGAUUCUGAAUAGCAAAUCUCAAAGAAGACCAUAGAUUCAAGAACAAACUGAGGAAGUGCCAUGAAUAAUCCAUUUUCCUAUAAAACCUAAGAAGACUUGGCAUGGGUUCCACAACAAAGGUGCUGAUUAAGCUCAAAAGCAACAAUUUUUAAACACUGGAUCUCUUCAAAAGUACUACUAAAUUCCAGAAUACAAGAUUUUAAACACUAUAACAAAAAGUAAAGUAAUGACUGCAGUUGGGCUUAUAAGAAUUCACUUUUUCCUGAGCUUCUGAUUGAUGCCAAUUUUGGUCCAUCAGUU
ensembl:lncRNA ASB15-AS1 ASB15 antisense RNA 1